rnacentral:rRNA from 1 species
GCGAACGCUGGCGGCAGGCUUAACACAUGCAAGUCGAACGGACGUAGCAAUACGUCAGUGGCAGACGGGUGAGUAACACGUGGGAACGUGCCCUUCGGUUCGGAACAACCCAGGGAAACUUGGGCUAAUACCGGAUACGCCCUUACGGGGAAAGAUUUAUCGCCGAAGGAUCGGCCCGCGUCUGAUUAGCUUGUUGGUGAGGUAACGGCUCACCAAGGCGACGAUCAGUAGCUGGUCUGAGAGGAUGAUCAGCCACACUGGGACUGAGACACGGCCCAGACUCCUACGGGAGGCAGCAGUGGGGAAUAUUGGACAAUGGGCGCAAGCCUGAUCCAGCCAUGCCGCGUGGGUGAUGAAGGCCUUAGGGUUGUAAAGCCCUUUCGGCGGGGAAGAUAAUGACGGUACCCGCAGAAGAAGCCCCGGCUAACUUCGU